rnacentral:rRNA from 1 species
GGGCUGCCGGUGACAAACCGGAGGAAGGUGGGGAUGACGUCAAGUCCUCAUGGCCCUUAUAGGUGGGGCUACACACGUCAUACAAUGGCCGGUACAGAGGGUAGCCAACCCGCGAGGGGGAGCCAAUCCCACAAAGCCGGUCGUAGUCCGGAUCGCAGUCUGCAACUCGACUGCGUGAAGUCGGAAUCGCUAGUAAUCGCGGAUCAGCAUGUCGCGGUGAAUACGUUCCCGGGUCUU